GCCGGUUAAAAUCCGGAGCUAUAAAAGCUGAUGUGCGCGCGAGGGCCGCCCUUUCCGAGAGCGUGGCGAAGGCGCGUGUGCUGUGUGUUUCAUGUCAAAAAUGCAUGCAAAUAAAACGAAAGGAGAAAAUCUCUGGAAGCCGCCAUGAGGUGCGAACUCAUUUACUGUGAAGAGAACAUUUUAACUAGUUAUGAUGGGACUGACACUCCAGUACGAAGCCCAGGGUCUGGCUGGGGGUUGGACUUUUGUUCCAGGCUGUCAAGCGGAGACGACUCAUGCUUGUGCUGCCCCAGGUCCUUAGUGCCUGGGACCCAGCAGUGAAUUGUUGCCAGAUGUAUGGAGAUGUAAAUAAAUACAACAAACUGUGUAACGAUCUCAUUUAUUUGAAUGCUUAUGUUCUUAAACUUUGUCAUUUUCUCAGUAGGUAGGUUAUUUCCGGAACAAUGAAAGUUAGGAGGACAAUGGCUUGCUAUUUUUAUUUUGUAUGUAGGGCUGGUGGAAAAAGGUCCCUCACUUGGCUUUUCUGUAACCUUGUAAGAGGUCUGGAGAUACUAAAUAGGACUUCAGGUUGGACCUAAAGCAUACAUGCUGCUGUUGUGGUUUUUGAAAGCUCCCUCUUCCAAAAGUGUUGGGCUGUUAACCUUUUGAAAAUGAUGUGCAUUUUUGGCAGGCAUUUCACUGCACUCCAGUGUCCCGUCACUGCAGCCCUUUCUGUAACUCCUGUCAGUCUAUCGUCCGUAUUGUCAGAUUUCCAUGUUUAAACUAGCAGCUACUGUCCUAAUGUCUUAGGGCCUGUAUCCCCAAGCUAGAAUCCUGGGUUGGCAAGAUAACUUGUCGCGUUUAAGGUAAUCUGUGCUACAAGUAAAGGAAAGACGAUAGCCCAUUAAAACUGGGGUACUUUAAAUCCAACAAGUUAUCUAGCUAGCAACAAGUCUCAGUUUGUGAUUCAGGCCCUCUGUGUUGCCGGAUAGUCGGCUAAAUGCAACAAUAACAAAAUAUUGGUUUUAAUAUUUCAGAUGCUCUUCAGAGUUCACUGUAUAUAUUUUCUUAAGUUUGUAGGUGGCAGUAUGUUACCUACUUGGUAAUGGUACAAAUGGGGAUUGAUAGGGUGUAAUACUCAUGAUGCAAUACUAUGCUUAAGUCCAUGAAAAGCUGGUUGAUUUUGUAGCACUUGCUGAUAUACUGUGAAUGCUGGCUGCAUUGGCAUUUGCUUUUGGCACAGUUCCUCUCCAUGGGGUUACCAUGUGUUGCAUAGUGCAGUGCUUAAGGUCUCGCACCACUUCUAAUAUUGGAAUUGAAUGCUUGUCAUUAUCGUAAUUACAUGAAGGGGUUACCCCUCUUAUACAUUCUGCUCAUGGUAGCCUGGGGUAAUUUGCUGUAUGGGGAAUGAUCAUGAGGCUUUGUGAUGUCAGCUCUCUUUUUCCCUAAGCAUUCCCUCCUAAAUGCUUUCACUUUAAAUGGCUUUGUGGCUGGCUGGCAUAUGUGCUGAAAUAACUAGGUAUUGAAAGCCACACUCGUCCGGAGCCUGUUCUGGAAAAUUAAUGGAAUGAGGUUUUUGAAGGCUAGUCCGUUGGAAUGUCCUCGUAUGCAUGACCGUACACUCUUCACUGAAGAUGAGGUUGCAAUUUGUAGAGCACAAUGUUCUUAGACUGGGGUGAACCUGCUGUACCCUCAAGGAGAACAUGCACGCUCUGAAGUUCGAGCUGUAACUUUGCGAUUCCCUGGGUGAGUCACAAAAGCUGUGGGUGCCGAGCCUCUGUGCCAGAUGUUACUAGAAUGUCCUUAAAAAUUUCAAUAAGAAGUUUCUGCGGAAGUGGAAAGUUCAGGUUGAAGGAAGUACAAAUGCAGACCAAGAUUGUUGAAGGUUGUUUCAACCAACCAGUUAAGUAUAAAGAGUUGGAUUCACAGGGUUCUCAACUGGUUGGUUGAAAGAAAAUCUUGGUCUGGAUCUGUACUUUCUGGAGCUGGAGUGUCCACCUCUGGGUUUCUCUCCUGAUUCAUUCAGCCUGUGUCUGUUUCAUCGCUGGAAGCAGGUCAGCAGUAGUUUGAGUCACACCUUUGUUGUAAUUCCCAGAUCACAAGGUGCUGGAGGCACUGGGAACUACUCCCUUGGCUCUAGUGGAGUUCCUGCCCCGGCUAAUAGAGCAGGGUGGUGGCGUGGUAAUGUCGGCCAUACAGGAUUGCCUUGGUAAUGACACAGCUUGUUCUGUUUGACAGCUGCAUGUUCCUGUCCGGCUUGCUGGCAGAGGUGGUAUUAAUCUCUACAUAACAAUGCUAAAGGGAACUUGCCAUGUCCCAUAAUGCACCUGAGCCAGUCUGUAGUCACUGUGAUGGGACAUUUUUCCCUGUGUAGGAUCAUUUCACUUAGUCACAUAGGUGUUAAUUUAGUACUAACUAAUCCCUUUUCCCCUGCCUGCACGUAGAGGAACGUCCUGAGGGCAGGUUAUGUGUUCAUAAUUAACGUUCAGCUAAAUCUCCAAUUUAUCUUCAAUCAAACUCUUCUCAGAUUAGUCUUUCUUAAUGUCAAGAUCACAGCUGUUUUUUUUUCAUUUACAUGUUUUUAAUUGCCUGAGGCAAAUGAAUUGAUGUCUAUUCAUCAUCUGAGGCUUGUGGUGACUCCCAGAGCGUAUCCUGCGCCCCAAGGACGCCCUGGUUUCGAAAAUGCAGUCAGACAUGGAGUUCAUUUUGCGUGCUUGUCAGGAUUUCUUGGAACAAUAAUUUUACGAUUCUUGUACUGGAUUAACAAGGGAGAUGGAUGAUGACAACGAUGGCAACCGCAGGAGGCGGGGAGGUGGCACAGUGGUGCAGUUGUGAGCACUAUUGCCUCACGCCUAUGGGACCUGUGUUCAAGUCUCUAUCAGAGUACCAGGUGUGGAGUUUGCAUGUUCUCCCUGUGUAUGUCAUAGGGUUUCCUCCAGGUCCUCUG